CCCUUCCUCCCUUCGCGCCGCUCUGCCCGGAGCCGCUGCGCCGCGCCGGGAGGCGGAGGUGCCCUGCCUGUCCUUCAGGCCGGCAGGCGAAGGUAUCUGAAGAAACAGCCUGAAGAUGAACUUCUUCCUGGAAACAUUAAAAUUCAUUGUACUUUCUGUUUAUUACUUACUGGAGUCACUGGUGUUCUUGGUUGUUCCUGUACGAAAGAAGAAUGUUAGUGGUGAAAUCGUACUAAUAACAGGAGCGGCAAGUGGCAUUGGAAGACUCUUAGCAAUAAAGUUUGCCAGCCUUGGAGCCACAGUGGUCCUCUGGGAUAUUAAUCAAGAGGGACUCAACUGCACAGUUAGAGUGGCCAGAGAAAAGGGAGCAGGAAGAGUGCACUCUUACGUCUGUGACUGUAGCAAAAGACAGGAUAUCUACAGAGUAGCUGACCAGGUUAAAAAAGAAGUUGGAGAUGUCAGCAUCCUGAUCAAUAAUGCUGGAGUUGUAAUUGGGAAGAGAUUUCUUGAUUCUCCAGAUUCACUUGUAGAUAAAACCAUGGCAGUGAACACAAUGGCACACUUCUGGACUUACAAAGCCUUCGUCCCAGCAAUGAUUGCUGCUAACCAUGGACACUUGGUUAGCAUAGCAAGCUGUGCAGGACUGUGUGGAGGCAGUCAGAUUGCAGAUUACUGUGCAAGUAAAUUUGCAGCAAUUGGCUUUGCAGAGUCAAUUGAUAUGGAGAUGAGAACUCUGAAAAAGACUGGUGUUAAAACUACAAUUGUGUGUCCUUUUGUCAUAAACACAGGAAUGUUUGAUGGUGUUAAAUCCAAGUGGCCACGUGUGCUUCCUUCUCUGGAUCCAGAGUAUGUGGCUGAGAGGAUAGUCAGUGCAGUUCGGCAGAACCAAGAAAUAUUGUUCAUACCACGCAUCAUUUAUGUUUUAUAUUUUUUGAAAUGCUUCCUGCCAGUGAAAGCAAUUGUUCUCCUUUUUGACUACUUUGGAGUCCUUGAUUGCAUGAAUACCUUCAAAGGUCGACCAAAGAAGGAGUGAAAAAGCACAAAAUUCAGAGACCAGCAGCUCUAAAGUGGAUGCUGUUAAAAGGUACUUCUACACAUUGGGGCUGAGCCUUUUCUGGAGACUAAGCAGACACAGACAUCUCAACCUCUCCUUGUAUGGCAGGUGCUCCAGUAUCUUAAUUAUCUUUGCAGCCCUUCACUGGACUCACCGAGUGUAUGCAAAAACUAAUUAUGAGUAUUUUUACAUCUCUUAGAGACCAAUUUCUGUACUUGACUGAACAUGCAUAGUAUGUCAGACAGAGCUUCAGUAGAAAAUCUCUGCUUGCUAGCUGUCCUAGUAGGAGUACACAAAUAAUGCCUUUAUAUAAAUGUGCUGCUACCACAUUGAAUAUUGUGGUCACUGGUAAAUUACAUCAUGUGCCUGGAGGAUAACAGCUUAUCCUGUGGUGGUUUUUUUCGCCCCCAUCUCCUGUGAUGGCAGGACAGAUGUGGAGUUGUAUCCUGGAGGUCAAACAGCACACAUCCUUCCCCUGUGUUCAGGAGGCUGCAUGGAGCAAGUGUUUGGAUCUUCAACUGAGAUAUAAAUAUCUUGAGAUAAAAGGUGGCUUACUUCCUGCAUAACAGCGAUCUUGACUGAUUACUUUCCUGAUGCCAAGAGUCUUUCCUUCUGCUCUCAGCAAGAAAAGUCAUGGAAGGAUAACUGUGACACCCAAACAAGAAGAUAAAACUUGAAAAGGAAGAGCAUUGCAGUUGUGACAGGAUAAUGUCUGACUGCUGGAUGGUAACUCAGGCAGCUCCCACAAAAGAAUUCAUGGCCAUUGCUUGAAAUUUUAAAUAGUCUCUCCCCAAAAAUGACAGCCCAGAUUUGAGUGAGAUAGCUCCAUGGGCCUAAUAAUCAUGGUUAAGGUGAUUCAAAGGCAAUCCAUGGCAUUUUAUUGCCUCCUGUAUUUCUUUUCCAUGGGAGAUCAUAGUCCUGUGGUAGCAGAAAUCUUGCUGUCCCCUAAUGCUUCAAAACAUGGAGAACAUAGUGCCAAGAAAAAUUAACUUGAUUAAAUCCUCUGAACAAGAUUGAGAAGGAAAACAAACAGCCAGCAGCUGAGAUACAAGCUCCAUUAUUAUUUUAUGAAUGUGGAAUUCAUACCCAGAAGUUAUGUUCACCUGCUUGGAAUCUGGUGUUCAUGGUAGUCUGGUUUCAUUUUAGGAAGGAAACCAGCAGGUACCUCUUCUCUGGUAACCCUCCUAGGAGCAGAUGAUCUUCUGAAGACACUGAUGUGGUCUGCAUUCUUUGCUAAGCAGCUGUUCAAAGCCAUAGGCUUUGUAAAAUAAGCAUUUUAACAAAAUAACUUCACUUUUCUCACUGACUUUUUCAUUGCUGUGACAACGGAGAGAAAUGGAUUUGGAUCCACAGUUACUGGAUAUUCUAGGAAAAUACAGGGUUACUGUCUCUCAGGUGGCACUUAAAAAUGUGUUAUCAAUGCUUCAGUAGGUGGGGGAGCACUAUAAGCAGGGACUUUAGUCCACUCAUGUAAGACACACUUUCUUUCUAGUUUUAGGUAUCUCCAGCUUGAUGAUAUUUUCUCUGCCUUUCAAAGCCACCAAGCUCACAGCCUGAAUUUCUGUGAGAACUUCACAGAUAGCCUGUGGCUUAUGGCUGAGGAAAACAUAGCUCUGUCUAGGGAAGAGAGGUGGAAAAAAAUCACAUGUUCUUCCUUUGCCCUUGGCAAUAUCACACUAGGGAAAUGAGCAUCCUCAGGACUGCCACAGAGAUGUUCAAGACAAAGGUGUGACAAAGGCAGAAGUUCUAUGCCAAGGUGCCUUGUGGUGUUGCAUCUGCUGGGUAGUUACUGCUUGAUUAAAACAAACCUUGGUUCUUGGUACAGCCGUGUUGAGAAAUUUCACCCCUUAUCCAAGGACAUGCAUAACUACAUCUAAGGAAACAUUGUUCUGCAGGACUAGUAGUGGAGUAGUCUUCCACAAUCCCUGCCCAGGAAGGAAGAAUCCUAAGACAUAUUUUGCCUCUCUAUGUCUUGGGGUCCAGAGGCAGCAACCCCAGCUUUGGCACAGAAGGAAGAACAGGGCCAGAAGACGAGCAGCAACAGCAACACUGUCAGCCAGCAGCAAUUAAAGAGUUCUUGCUGGGCAAGUUUGGCCUGUUGGCACUAUAAACUUCAUGCUUAGAAGGUGCCAUGGUCUAGGCUGUGGAACCUGGGUGAUGGUGCAGUCCCCCUGGGCAGAUACCUCUAUUAACUGUAUUACUGUAAAGGCAGCUUGCUCAGAGAUGAAUGCAAUGUGAUAUAUGAUAGCUGAGGAAUCUGUUGAGCACAUGGUCUUUAGUGAUUGUUCCUCAGAAAUGGGAAUUCCUGUUGGAAGGUUAACAUGGAAGGUCUUCUCUUUGCAUUAUGUAUUGUCUGCGUAUUUCUGGCGUGAUAAUGAUUAACCAUGAAGCACACUCACACAAUGCA